GCUGGCUCCACAGGCGCGGGCCGUGGGUGGGGCGGGAGUGGACAGUUGGCAGGGGAACUGCUGGCUGGAUCUCUGGCUCAGAUGCACACACACACACACACACACACACACACACACUCUGAAGCAAAGUGCACAAAGAGUAUUGAAUGGGGCAGUCUUUUCUAAGAGAUUCCAUCCUUCAAGACUGGGUUCUGGCCUCCUGGCUGUUCUCCCAGUCACUGACUCGCUGUGUGACUUUGGGCAGGGCCCUUCCCUCUCUGGGCCUCCAUGUCCAUCUGGAACUCCAAGGGCUGAGACUCAGGCCCUGUCCAAGCCUCAGGCUCGGUAGCUGGCUAUGUGGCGGUGAAGGACUCUGGAUUCGGGGUUUUGUGGCCUGGGUUCCAAUCCAGACUCUGCCUUUUCAGAUGUGUGACCUCAGGGCAAGCAAUUUAACCUGCCUCUCUGUGCUCACCUGGAAAAUGGGACGAUGAUGAUGAUGGUGAUGAUAAUGGUGAGGCCUCCUGGUUGGGCCGUUGUGCAGAUUUAAUGAGCGAAUAUAUGAAGGAGCUUAGAAGCAGCGCCUGGCACGGAGGAGGAGCUGUGCUGAGUUUGUCGUUUUAUCUUCUAGGGUGGACAGGAGAAAAGAGACUCGAGGGAGCAGGCAGGCUGCCAGGAUGGGGGUCCUCGCAUGGAACGCCGACUCCCACCGGAUCCUCACCCAAAGUCCCUGCCCAGGAACUGGGAUGGGCUGUGAGGAGGGGGCCCAGGGGUCUGGCUGUGGGCAGCCCCGACCUGCUGGGCACGAGGAACAGACAGGAAACUGAGGCCCAGAGGCUUCUGCAGAAGGCACUGCAGAGGACGGUGGAGGUUCAGUGGCAGAGACUGGCUGGGCCAGGUUUCAGUUCAAGGACUGGAGAAGGACAGUCCCCUCCGUGAGCAGGGACCCGUGUGGGAGAGCUUCCUAUGUCUGGUGCUUCCAGGCUCUCCUGAGUGGUCCUAGAGCUGCCGGGCACCCCCCCCCCCCCGGUUUUUGCCAGAUCACAGGGCGCUUGUCCUUGGACUGACCCCUCUUUAAGCACACUCACUUUCUUCCACUUAAACAAGUGGAAACUUGAUAGGCUACCUUAAAAACCCAGAGAAACCCAGCAUCACGUCCUAUAAAGGAGGGAGGAUGAUAGAAAGAGACUCAAUGACUUCUGAGUGAUGGGGUGCAUGGAGGCAAGCAGGUCGGCAUGAGGACAACGAGCCCGAGAUGUGUUUGAUCGGUUAGUGUCGGCCGAGGCGGGGUCGCGUGUGCUGAUGACCGCCAGGCACCAGACGAGACUCUCCCCAGAAGCCACUGGGGAAAUGAAGAUCGCGGAGACAGCCUGCUCCUAUGUGACCCCAGCGUCACCUGACACCCAGGUCCCACCAACAGCGUCCUGUGGAUGGGAAACUCUAAGAGCAGGGAGGAGGUCCAGGCCCAGCUGACAGGAGGGACUGGCUCAAGGUCACACAGCAGGACGCUGCUUCGGAAAGCCUCCUUGCUGGGAAGGCCACUCUGUUUCCCUGUGACCUGCUGGACUCUAGGUGACCACACGCCACUGCCACUGUCUGGCCGUGGCUCUGAGAGGCCUGCCUCUCCCUUUCCAGCCUCAGGGUUCUCCUCUGUCCAGUAGGAAUGGGAACUCUCCCUCUCCCAGGUCGGCUGUGAGACUCCGCUAAGAGGACACCAUUGGUUCCACAGAAGCUUACUGAACUCUACUCGUCUGGCACAAGGCAAAUGCUCCGUCCCCUCUAAAAAGUGACUCUGUGGUCUGACAAGCACCAGGUCUCGUGGCUGUUCCACGCCGGCGCCUGCCCUGGGGCAUCUCUCCCUGAUCCGCUCCACGGGCCUUAUAGAGCCAUCAGCUGAGGAGGAAUCGGGGGCUCCGAGACGUGGAGUCCUCUGCUCCGA
rnacentral:lncRNA from 1 species